GUAGGUGGCAAGCGUUGUCCGGAAUUAUUGGGCGUAAAGCGCGCGCAGGCGGUCCUUUAAGUCUGAUGUGAAAGCCCACGGCUCAACCGUGGAGGGUCAUUGGAAACUGGGGGACUUGAGUACAGAAGAGGAAAGCGGAAUUCCAAGUGUAGCGGUGAAAUGCGUAGAGAUUUGGAGGAACACCAGUGGCGAAGGCGGCUUUCUGGUCUGUAACUGACGCUGAGGCGCGAAAGCGUGAGGAGCAAACAGGGAUUAGAUACCCUGGUAGUCCACGCCGUAAACGAUGAGUGCUAAGUGUUAGGGGGUUUCCGCCCCCUUAGUGCUGCAGCUAACGCAUUAAGCACUCCGCCUGGGGAUACGGCCGCAAGGCUG
rnacentral:rRNA from 1 species